UCGUGCUAGAUGGGGAACUAGCGGUGCCCUGUACCCGCAACCCGCUAUAGCGGGGUCGAAUUCCCUCUCCCGGGGCUACCCACCGGGACUGGUCUGGUCAGUUGGUGUUGAGGGUUGGGUCCCACGCGGCGGAGGCCUGUGAACCCCGUCAGGUCCGGAAGGAAGCAGCGGUAAGCGGUAUCCUCCGGGUGACGUGGGGCAGCCUGGCCUGAGCUGGCUGACUGGAUCAAGCCGGGGCGGGUCGCCACAAAAGAGGGUGCACGA
rnacentral:SRP_RNA from 1 species